UUGUGGUGAUUGUUUGAUUUUAAUUUCAAUAAAAGUGUGAAUGCAUGCUUGAUACACAUACACCAAUUAAUCCGCACAUAGUAAGGGCAAUCACCCCAACAAGAUAAGAACUGGAUUUCAUCACCAGAUUCUUGCCCAAAUUAGGUGAAUCAAUUCUCACAUAGUUAUCACCUUAAUUAAAAUUAAUUAGACAUUGGCCCCUAGGGACAUUCGAGCUCAAUAGGACGAAGAUCACCGAAAGUUGCACCAAUUUCGCUCUGUGGCUCAGUUGAUGUCUAGGCAAGCUUUGUCCCAAGGGAGACAGUUUAUCUGUUCGAG
rnacentral:lncRNA from 1 species